rnacentral:lncRNA from 1 species
GCAUGACCAAGGAUGAAGAAGUAUCUCAAACAUCAUCUAUUGCGGAUUUUCUUUUGAAAGUAAAGACAUAUUUAAUAGGUUUGGAACUUUGGACAGGCUAUCAGAAGAUAAUUGCCUAAAAUAUAUAUUUUCAUAAUGAUUUGGAAUAGUUAUUGAUAAGAGAAUUGGGGGAAUAAAUUAACUCACUGUAACAAAUUUUACCAUAAGAUUUUUAACUUAGGGCACAUACCUUAAUUAUUUAAUCCUCAAAGCUAUACAUUUGCCUUUAUUUGUUGCUUUUAGUAGUGUUUAAACAUGUUCAUUAUUCAUUUUUUAAUCUUUUAGGUCGGCAUGUAAAGGAUUAUUUAUUUUUUGAAAGAUAUAAUCAGUUCUUGUUUACUAUGCACAGAUUCCUAAUAUUUAAAAUUUGGAUUCAAAAGCAGAUUUCAAAUGAUGGUGAAAUGAGAUGAACAUCAUUACCCUAGAUUCAUACGUGACUGCACAUGUGGUGCAACCCUACAUUGUAUACAGCCAGAGAAAGGAAAAGUUGUGAUCCAUUUAUGUACAAUGAAUCAAAAUGCAUUCUCUUAUGUAUAACUAAUUAGAACAAAUAAACAACAACACCAAAAAGCACAUUUCAAAACAUCAUUGUUUCUCUGUAGUUUGCUAUUUUUCCUCAAGAGUCAUUUAAAUAAUGAUUUAGGUGAAAUGGUUUACUCUUUGUAAACUGGUAGAUAG